rnacentral:rRNA from 1 species
AACGAACGCUGGCGGCAGGCUUAACACAUGCAAGUCGAACGCCCCGCAAGGGGAGUGGCAGACGGGUGAGUAACGCGUGGGAAUCUACCUAGUCCUACGGAACAACACAGGGAAACUUGUGCUAAUACCGUAUACGCCCUACGGGGGAAAGAUUUAUCGGAAUUAGAUGAGCCCGCGUAAGAUUAGCUAGUUGGUGGGGU